rnacentral:rRNA from 1 species
AACGAACGCUGGCGGCAGGCCUAACACAUGCAAGUCGAGCGCACCCUUCGGGGUGAGCGGCGGACGGGUGAGUAACGCGUGGGAACGUGCCCUUCUCUGCGGAAUAGCCUCGGGAAACUGAGAGUAAUACCGCAUACGCCCUUUGGGGGAAAGAUUUAUCGGAGAAGGAUCGGCCCGCGUUGGAUUAGGUAGUUGGUGGGGUAAUGGCCCACCAAGCCGACGAUCCAUAGCUGGUUUGAGAGGAUGAACAGCCACACUGGGACUGAGACACGGCCCAGACUCCUACGGGAGGCAGCAGUGGGGAAUCUUAGACAAUGGGGGCAACCCUGAUCUAGCCAUGCCGCGUGAGUGAUGAAGGCCUUAGGGUUGUAAAGCUCUUUCAGCUGGGAAGAUAAUGACGGUACCAGCAGAAGAAGCCCCGGCUAACUCCGUG